rnacentral:rRNA from 1 species
UAACGCGUAGGUAACCUGCCUUGUAGCGGGGGAUAACUAUUGGAAACGAUAGCUAAUACCGCAUAACAAUGGGUGACUCAUGUCAUUUAUUUGAAAGGGGCAAAUGCUCCACUACAAGAUGGACCUGCGUUGUAUUAGCUAGUAGGUGAGGUAACGGCUCACUUAGGCGACGAUACAUAGCCGACCUGAGAGGGUGAUCGGCCACACUGGGACUGAGACACGGCCCAG